rnacentral:misc_RNA from 1 species
GUGCAGUGAUCAAAGCAGGUCUUCGCUAAAUCCAGAUAAUGAUAAGACCACUUAUGGGGCAUUUGUGGAUGUGGACCCUGUUCAUGAGCAAUUGUCAUUGAGAAGCCUGAUUGAUCAUUCAGUAGUAGAGAGCUUUGGCGGACAAGGAAAGAACUGCAUUUCUGCAAGAGUCUAUCCCACAUUGGCUAUAAAUGAGGCAGCCCACUUGUAUGCUUUCAAUAAUGGAAGUGAAAGUGUUACCAUCACAAGAUUGAGUGCUUGGAGCAUGAAGAAGGCUCACAUCAACUGAAAAAAUUAAACUAAGAAUUGGGAAAUGGGGAUGAGAACGACAGAAGCAUGGACUGAGAUACAUAUAUGCAUUAACCAGAGAAAUAUAACUACAAAUCUUGAUUCUUAUUUAUUACCUAUACCUUUAUAAUUCUUGUUUUUCACUCCAUUGUAAUAUCUUCAAGAUGAAAUAAAAGAAGCCAGUGGAUUUGCU